CUGAAGGAAGACGGCAAAGCUUCUUAAGCAUGGAAUUUACAACAGAUCUAAAGAAUCCAACUUGAUAAAAAUGAAAUGAGCACGUUGUGCAAUAAGUUUUAAUCAUUUAAGAAUUUCCGGUAACGGAAACUUGACCCUCAAAUUAGAACUUUGACUCGAUCGUCAAAACUGUUACACCUUGGAGUUGUUUACACAUUGAUCUUUUUUCAUCACCCGCAUUUUUUUUUUAUGACCAUGGGUAUCCGAGUCAACUUACGCGCAUCUCGACUAAUCCCACGGGACCCUGAAGUUUAUGGUCGAAUACUCACCUAAGUGGCCCUAAAGAACUCGAACUGGUGACAAUUGGGGAGCAAAUCCAGAGCCUGAGCUAACUCCCAGGGUUUCAUCACCGCAUUCAAAUAAGAACCCUUUCCCUCCCAGGGUUUCAUCACCGCAUUCAAAUAAGAACCCUUUCCCUCUUAACAUUUUUAACAUAUUCUAUGAGAUUCGCCAAUCUUGCACAAUGAAAAGCUCUAACUAUAUAAAACAUGCUAGAAUAUGUUAACAUAUUCUAUGAGAUUCGCCAAUCUUGUACAAUGAAAAGCUCUAACUAUAUAAAACAUGCUAGAAUCAUCCAAGAUGUCUUUUCCUCUGUAAGCGUAUGGUCUCAAUAAUUAUUCUAUCUAUUCUAUUGCUAUUCCACAUCCGUCUUAACAUCUUGAACCUUGCUGCAUUCUUCAAAUUAUUUUGGUCCUGCAUUAAACUCAGCAAUAUAAACUAUAACAUGUCUAAUGGCCAUUUUACUUAACUACGUUUUCAAGUUACAGUUCUCAUGAUUAUAUUAGGAAAAAAAUAAAUCAGUGCAAACAUCAAUCGAAGACCAGGAGAG
rnacentral:lncRNA from 1 species